GCCCCGUUAGCUCAGCUGGUAGAGCACGUCCUUGGUACGCCUGGUUACGCUCGUGCGGCACGCAAAGACCGGUUCCACCGGCCCCGCCUAAAGCAGAAUCAGUUCACAAACAGGACGAGGUCCCGGGUUCAAAUCUCGGACGGGGCU
rnacentral:tRNA from 1 species